rnacentral:rRNA from 1 species
UACGUAGGGGGCUAGCGUUGUCCGGAUUUAUUGGGCGUAAAGAGCGUGUAGGCGGCCAGGUAGGUCUGGUGUGAAAACUCGAGGCUUAACCUCGAGAUGUCAUCGGAAACCAUUUGGCUAGAGUCCGGAAGAGGAGAGUGGAAUUCCUGGUGUAGCGGUGAAAUGCGCAGAUAUCAGGAAGAACACCGGUGGCGAAGGCGGAUCUCUGGGCCUUACCUGACGCUCAGGCGCGAAAGCUAGGGGAGCGAACUGG